rnacentral:rRNA from 1 species
GACGAACGCUGGCGGCGUGCUUAACACAUGCAAGUCGAACGGAAAGGCCCUGCUUUUGUGGGGUGCUCGAGUGGCGAACGGGUGAGUAACACGUGAGUAACCUGCCCUUGACUUUGGGAUAACUUCAGGAAACUGGGGCUAAUACCGGAUAGGAGCUCCUGCUGCAUGGUGGGGGUUGGAAAGUUUCGGCGGUUGGGGAUGGACUCGCGGCUUAUCAGCUUGUUGGUGGGGUAGUGGCUUACCAAGGCUUUGACGGGUAGCCGGCCUGAGAGGGUGACCGGCCACAUGGGGACUGAGAUACGGCCCAGACUCCUACGGGAGGCAGCAGUGGGGAAUAUUGAACAAUGGGCGGAAGCCUGAUGCAGCAACGCCGCGUGCGGGAUGACGGCCUUCGGGUUGUAAACCGCUUUCGCCUGUGACGAAGCGUGAGUGACGGUAAUGGGUAAAGAAGCACCGGCUAACUACGUG